GAUGAACGCUGGCGGCGUGCUUAACACAUGCAAGUCGAACGGUGAACACGGAGCUUGCUCUGUGGGAUCAGUGGCGAACGGGUGAGUAACACGUGAGCAACCUGCCCCUGACUCUGGGAUAAGCGCUGGAAACGGCGUCUAAUACUGGAUAUGUGACGUGACCGCAUGGUCUGCGUUUGGAAAGAUUUUUCGGUUGGGGAUGGGCUCGCGGCCUAUCAGCUUGUUGGUGAGGUAAUGGCUCACCAAGGCGUCGACGGGUAGCCGGCCUGAGAGGGUGACCGGCCACAGGGGGCCUGAGAAACGGCCCAAACUCAUCGGGGGGGCAGGAGGGGGGAAUUUUGCAAAAGGGGCGAAAGCCUGAUGCAGAAACGCCGGGUGGGGGAGGACGGCCUUGGGGUUGUAAACCUCUUUUAGGAGGGAAGAAGCGAAAGUGACGGUACCGGCAAAAAAAGCGCCGGCUAACUACGU
rnacentral:rRNA from 1 species